rnacentral:lncRNA from 1 species
UCACCCAAAACCUGCUAAAACAUAUUUUUCUAUUUUACAGAUAAGAAAACUGAGGAAGUCUUAAGGACUCAUACUUCAUGGAAGACCUAGUUUCGGAAGUUGAGUUUCUGCACGUGAACUCCCUUAAAGUCUGUUGCAGAAGGAAUGAAAGUUAUGUCCAUGCUCAAACACCAUUUGAGAUGUUAAAGUCAAGAGAAAUCCAAGUCUCCUCCCCUCAUUCCCCAGACACAGCCAGUACUGUUUAUCUCCUUGGACCUGGGCAAAUGCAAAAGGAUGGUGGUAAUAAUCCUAAAGUAAACCAGAGCAGAAGAGAUUCAAGAAGAACUGAGACUCAAUUCGUCUGCCAUCGGAUGGAAAUUCCACCUGCAGGCUGCCCACAAACACUCCAUCUAUGGCCUUCCAACCUGUUCUUCAGCCUUUCUCUCCCUUUCUUUAGUGACACUUUUGUUCCUAAGAAUUUCCAAGAGGCAGAACUGGUACUUGAGAGCUCUACUGUCCACCUAGGUAGUCACUGGCCACCUGGUGGAUCCUUAAACUUAACCAAUAAAAAUAAAAUUAAACUAAAAAUUAGUUUCCUGGUCACACUCAGCACCUUUUACAUGCCCUGUUGUUACAUUUAAGCCACAGGUGGUUAGCGCUACCUGAUUGGAAUCCACAGACAUAGGGCAUUUUCAUUCUCAUAGGAAGGUCUAUUGGGCUGCACCGAACUCCAGUCUUAUUAAUAGAAUUCGGGUCUUCAAGAUAUAGCUCCUCAGCAUGGGAAAAACGUGCUUUCCUGUAAAAAUCCCCAAAGUGAAAACAUAAUGAACAUAUUGCCAUUUCAUUUUAUUUUCUUUUUCAGAGAGUCUUUAUCACCGAAUAAGGAUUAAUUCUCUUAUGGACUUUAGUUAUGGCAAUCAAGCACUUUUUGUUAGUCAGCUUUCUAUCACUGUGACAAAAAACCUGAGGUAAUAAAUUUUUAAGGAAAAAAGGCUUAUGUUGGCUCUUGGUUUCAAAGGUUUUAGUCCAUGGUCACCUGGCCCUGUUGCUUUGGGCUUGUGGUAGCACAGUACUUCAUGGCCAGAGUAAGUGUCAAAGGAGUCUGUUCACCGCAUGGUGGCUGGGAAAUAAAGAGAAAGAUAGGAAAGGCUGGAGUCUCGAUAUCUCCUUCAAGGUCAUGCUCCCAGUGACCCAACUUCUUCCGACUUAAAGGUCCCUCUGUCUCCCAUUAACAGCACAAGCUGGUGAGCAGGCUUUCAACACAGGGUCCUUUGGGGGUUCACCAGAUCAUAACAGAUCCUAACCAAGAAAGAUUCUAAGCAAUAAAGAAAUCAUACCUGCCAAUGUGUAGGGGACAU